GGGCCCGCACAAGCGGUGGAGCAUGUGGUUUAAUUCGAUGCAACGCGAAGAACCUUACCAGGGUUUGCAUGCCACUAUUUAACUAGGUACUUGUGAAAGCAGGUUUUGGUGCACAAGUGGUGCAUGGCUGUCGUCAGCUCGUGUCGUGAGAUGUUGGGUUAAGUCCCGCAACGAGCGCAACCCUUAUAUCUUGUUGUGAUUCCAGAUCAAGAAAACUGCCGGUGACAAACCGGAGGAAGGUGAGGAUGACGUCAAGUCAACAUGCCCUUUAUACUCUGGGCGACACACGUGCUACAAUGGUUAGGACAAAUCGUUACUACUUUGAAAAAAGACGUAAA
rnacentral:rRNA from 1 species